rnacentral:rRNA from 1 species
AGUGAACGCUGGCGGUAGGCCUAACACAUGCAAGUCGAACGGCAGCACAGGAGAGCUUGCUCUCUGGGUGGCGAGUGGCGGACGGGUGAGGAAUACAUCGGAAUCUACUCUGUCGUGGGGGAUAACGUAGGGAAACUUACGCUAAUACCGCAUACGACCUACGGGUGAAAGCAGGGGACCUUCGGGCCUUGCGCGAUUGAAUGAGCCGAUGUCGGAUUAGCUAGUUGGCGGGGUAAAGGCCCACCAAGGCGACGAGCCGUAGCUGGUCUGAGAGGAUGAUAAGCCACACUGCAACUGAGACACGGUCCAGACUCCUACGGGAGGCAGCAGUGGGGAAUAUUGGACACUGGGCGCAAGCCUGAUCCAGUCAUACCACGUGGGUGAAGAAGGCCUUCGGGUUGUAAAGCCCUUUUGUUGGGAAAGAAAUCCAGCUGGCUAAUACCCGGUUGGGAUGACGGUACCCAAAGAAUAAGCACCGGCUAACUUCGUGCCAGCCGCCGCCGUAA